UCUGCAUCCGAGGACUCAACCCAUUUGAUUGGCGGUUGGUUGAAUCCACAGAUGUGAGACC
ensembl:miRNA